AAAACAAAUACCGAAUCUGGUCCCCUUUGGGGUUAAGAGGGAAGGCGGUGAGAAUCCGCCACAGCCCCGCUACUGUGAGUGGCUACGAGGGUCUGUUAAUCCACUGUCCCGCCAUAGGCGGAAUGGGAAGGAAGACUCAAGGUUUGACGCCACAAGUCAGGAAACCUGCCAGGUUUGAAAACCUUAA
rnacentral:ncRNA from 2 species